AGCGGCGGACGGGUGAGUAACGCGUGGGUAACCUGCCUCAUACAGGGGGAUAACAGUUAGAAAUGACUGCUAAUACCGCAUAAGACCACAGCACCGCACGGUGCGGGGGUAAAAACUCCGGUGGUAUGAGAUGGACCCGCGUCUGAUUAGCUAGUUGGUAAGGUAACGGCUUACCAAGGCGACGAUCAGUAGCCGACCUGAGAGGGUGACCGGCCACAUUGGGACUGAGACACGGCCCAA
rnacentral:rRNA from 1 species